rnacentral:rRNA from 5 species
GACACGACUCUCGACAAUGGAUAUCUUGGCUCUUGCAUCGAUGAAGAGCGCAGCGAAAUGCGAUACGUGGUGCGAAUUGCAGAAUCCCGUGAACCAUCGAGUCUUUGAACGCAAGUUGCGCCCGAGGCCAGCCGGCCAAGGGCACGUUCGCCUGGGCGUCAAGC